UAUGUCUUGGUAAGGGUAUGUGGGGGUUGCCUUUCUCUAGGGUGUGUUUGGUUUGUGGUAUGUUUAUGCAUGUGCAUCAGAAAAAGUUGUCAAGAUAUCAAUUCCGUAAGGUUGUUUAUUUUCUAUUAACAGUGAGUUGUCACAUGGCAGGUAACAUACAAAACUAGGCCAAAGUAGCCUAGAUAGAAGCAAUCUAGGAACACUAUAGGGUCAGGAACACAAACAUGAAUUCCUCACCCUAUAGUGUUAAAACCACCAUCUAACCGCACUGGCCCCCACUAGCUCCCCUA